UACCAGCACCCCGAGUGGUCGGGACGUUUUAUUGGGCCUAAAGCAUCCGUAGCCGGUUCUACAAGUCUUCCGUUAAAUCCAACUGCUUAACAGGUGGGCUGCGGAAGAUACUAUAGAGCUAGGAGGCGGGAGAGGCAAGCGGUACUCGAUGGGUAGGGGUAAAAUCCGUUGAUCCAUUGAAGACCACCAGUGGCGAAGGCGGCUUGCCAGAACGCGCUCGACGGUGAGGGAUGAAAGCUGGGGAGCAAACCGGG
rnacentral:rRNA from 1 species